rnacentral:lncRNA from 1 species
GAACAGCUUUGUUAAACCCAGUUUUUUUCCUAUGAAAAUGGCUGCAGACACUGGGGGAGGGAGAGGGUGGCCCUGAUCCCGAUGACUCUGAAACAUGCUUGGCCUUCCCCAGAGAUUCCUGCUCCCAGCCCAGGCCCAGACGGCAACAGAAGCUCAUGGGGAGUGAAGGGACAGGAUGGAGCGGGAGCGGCGCCAAAGCACGGGGAGAACCAGAGGCCGCAGGAAUGGCAGACUCUGGACAUGCUCCUAGAGAUGGGAGGUCAAAAUGAUCAACGUUCAGGGUCCCUUCAUCUCAGAGGGUCUCGAGUCACCUCAUUUAAAGUGUGGCCUGGGACACCUCCUAUCCAGCCAUACGCCGCCCAGGACUGGCUCAACAGCUCCACCCUCCACUGCUGUUCACCCAUGACACGUCACUUCCCACCCGCCACUGCUGGCUCACCUGUGACACCCCAGGCAGCUCAGAUGCCCGGCAGGUCCUGCUGGUGUGUGUUAGCCGGGGUCUCCAAAGAACCAGAGCCAGCAGGGGACACACCCAUCUCUGUAUCUGGAGAAAAAGAUCGAUGAGAAGGAAUCUGCUCCUGUGAUGAUGGAGGCUGACAAGUCCCGAGAGCCACGUAUUUCCUCAGCUGAGUGCAUGGGGCCAGACCACACUGGGGAGGGCAGUCAGCGUCACUCAGAGCACCGGGUCAUCUCAUGCAGAAACACCCUCAAAGAAAUAGCCCAAAUUAUGCUGACCAAAUAUCUGGGCACCCCGUGCCCCAGACAAGUUGACACAGAAAAUUAACCAUCACAGGUUAACUCCAUCCAGGAGUGGAAUUGCUGGGUCAUAGAGAAGGCAUAGGAAUUCACAGAAAUCACCAAACGGUUUUCAGGCGGUUGUGCCAUGUUAAACUCCCACUGGAAAGAGAGGAGAGCUGUGAUUGUUCCACGUCCUCAGCAACGUUUAGAAUAGGCAGUCUUUGGCCGGGCCGGGCACAGAGGCUCAAACCUGUAACCCCAGCACUUUGGGAGGCCAUAGUGGGUGGAUUACCUGAGAUCAAGAGUUCAAGACCAGCCUGGCCAACAUGGUUAAACCCCGUCUCUAUUAAAAAUGCAAAAAUUAGCCAGGCGUGGUGGUGCGUGCCUGUAAUUCCAGCUACUUGGGGGCUGAGGCAGGAGAAUCGUUUGAACCCAGGAGGCAGAGUUUGCAGCGAGCCGAGAUCGCGCCACUGCACUCCAGCCUGGGCAACAGAAUGAGACUCUGUCUCCAAAAAAAGAAAAAAUAAAUAAAGAAAAGUCAUUCUGUAGUUUUAGCCUUUGUGAAGGCAUGAAGUGGCAUCUCAUUAUGGUUUAAAUGCUUAUUUCGCUGGUGACUAAUGAGGCUGACCAGUUUUUCACUGCAUUUAGCCCUUUCAAUGCACUUCAGGUCUGUGAAGUACUUGUUCAAGUGUAUUGCCCAUUUUAAAAAUUGGUUUGUUUAUCUUUUUCUUAUCAAUUUGUAGGAGUUCUUGAUAUAUUCUGGGCAGAAGGCCUUGGUGUAGAAUCUAUUAAGACACACCGAGGCGAACGGUACAUUUGUCUGCAACUUACCUUUUGACUCUCUUGAUGGUGUCUCAAAGUUGUUGAUUUUAAGGAAGCCCAGUCUUUUAUGUCGAGUCCCUUUGUGUUCUAUGUUAGAAAUCUUUGCUGACCACAGUGUCUUCUUCUUUUUCUUUUGAGACGGAGUCUCGCUUUGUCGCCCAGGCUGGAGUGCAGUGGCGCCAUUUCAGCUCACUGCAACCUCCGCCUCCCAGGUUCAG